UUAGAAUCAUCAUACCUGAAUCCACUCAUUAUGCUGCUACGGGCCUGAUGACAUAGAUUUCAUUGCUGAGUGAUAUUGCUUUUUAGAAUCAUCAUACCUGAAUCCACUCAUUAUGCUGCUACGGGCCUGAUGCCAUAGAUUUCAUUGCUGAGUGAUAUUGCAUUUUAGAAUCAUCGUACCUGAAUCCACUCAUUAUGCUGCUACGGGCCUGAUGACAUAGAUUUCAUUGCUGAGUGAUAUUGCAUUGUACUUAGAAUCAUCAUACCUGAAUCCACUCAUUAUGCUGCUAAGGGCCUGAUGACAUAGAUUUCAUUGCUGAGUGAUA